CGCCGGGGCCUCGGCCCUGGGCGGUAAGGGUGAAACGGUGAGGUAAGAGCUCACCAGCGCCCCGGGUGACCGGGGCGGCUUGGUAAACCCCACCCGGAGCAAGGCCAAGCAAGGCCGCGCCCGCAAGGACGCGACCGGCGCAGGGUUCGAGGGCUGCUCGCCUGAUCCUGCGGGUAGGCCGCAAGAGCCUGCCGGCAACGGCAGGCCGAGAUGGAUGGCCGCCACCGGGACCUCGGUCCCGGCCACAGAAUCCGGCGUACAGGCCGACUCGUCCGCCGCCCCCCGAGGUCACCACUCUGCGGGCGGCGCCCGCCCGGCCUCAUAUAUACGGUCAACGUCGGCCGCCGUCUCAAGCUCCCGACUCCCCACCUGCAGAGGGGUCAUCCCUGUCGCCCGGGCUCCGC
rnacentral:RNase_P_RNA from 1 species